ensembl:snRNA U4 U4 spliceosomal RNA
AGCUUUGCUCAGUGGCAGUAUCGUAGCCAAUGAGGUUUAUCCGAGGUGCGAUUGUUGCUAAUAGAGAACUUUUCCCAAUACCUGCCACGACGACUUGCAAUAUAGUCAGCACUGGCAAUUUUCGACAGUCUCUAUGGAGA